rnacentral:tmRNA from 1 species
GGGGAUGACAGGCUUCGACAGGGAAGGCUGGUCACGGAUUGCAAGCCGAGGUGCCCUACCCUCGCUAAACCGGGGCAAAACUACAGACGCCAAAGCAAGAACAAAUCUUGCGGCGCUCCCGAUGGCUGCCUAGGCAGCGUCGGAUCGCUCUAGCCGCCCAGAGCGGCUACGUCUGCCCAGGCUCUCCUCCGAUGGGCCUGGAGCAGGCGUCAUGGAAAUCGGAGUGCGGCUCUCCCGACGGCGAUAAGGAGGGCUAAAGCCGGGGCUUCGGUCCCGGAUCACCUGGCCUGCUUCGCACUCCGUCGGUCGAGGGUGAGGCGGGUGAGAAACAAAAGGCCGACUAAGCUUGUAGCAUAUCCGUGGUCGAAUUCUCUGGACGCGGGUUCGAUUCCCG